rnacentral:lncRNA from 1 species
GUCAUCUUGUUGGUUUCUCAUUGACAUAUACAUGAAAUACAAAUAUCCUAUCAAAUUCACUAUAACCUGAGAGAAGGUAUUUGUACAAAUUAAACAAUGUGAUUCCAAUAUACGUCGGCAAAUUUUUUUACAGUCGUAUAAAAAAAUUUAGUAUGGUGAAAUUGUUUUUGUUGUGUAUUUACCAUGUUUACUAUUAAUGAGGGGCCUGAUGGGUUAUUUUCGUUCUUCGUGUUUGUCACAUUUUCGCUAUUGUGAUCUGUUUUUUCAACAUUUUUUUUUUUUUUUUAUAUUUUUGUGAUCUUUGAUCAUGGAAAUUUAUUUUUGAUUGUGAUUGACAAAAAAUCAACUCUUGAAUUGUGAUGAGACCCCCCCCCCCCCCAUUAGGCCCCUCAUUAAUAACUAAUCUUAGAUGUUGGCCUCAUGUAAAAAAAAGAUGUAGUAUUCAGAUCAGUUUUAUUAUGCAAAUCAGUUCUAAAACUACAAAUUUUUAUACUUCACACACUCUCACAAAAAGUCAAGCAGUUGAUUCACCGGUAUUAAAAUACAAUUUUUUUUUAGCACAACUUUGUAUAUUGCAUAUUACUUUCUUAACUGACAUGAUUAACUUUUUCAUGGAUUUCAAUUUAGAUCAUUUGUUAUAAAAUAUAACUUCUGGGAAUUUUUUUUAUAAUUUAUGGUUGCAUACUUUGCAAUUCUACAUCAAUUGGAUUCCAUUGAAUUAAAAUCUAAAAAAGAGCUAUUCAAUUAGGCAGAUAUGGGAGGGUUGCAGCCAGGACUUCCAUAACUAUCCCAAAAUCAAAAUUACUUUCUUCAAAUAAAUCUGCAAAUCAAAUGCAAAAAACAACUGAAAUUGACCUGCACCCAUUUCAAAAAAAAAAUAAUACCCUCUCAUAUCCACUAAAUGGAAUAGCCUUAACUAUGUAAGCCAUCCAAAAUUGACGUCCAUGAAUAAAAGUAUCAUAAUUUACAAUAAUCAAGAAUUCAUAAGAAUUUAUACAUUAUAUGCAAGAAAAAAAAUAUGAUGUGGAGAAUACAUACAGAUAGAUAUGGCCAACACCAAAACACCUGAAUU